GACGAACGCUGGCAGCGUGCUUAACACAUGCAAGUCGAACGGAAAGGCCCUGCUUUUGUGGGGUGCUCGAGUGGCGAACGGGUGAGUAACACGUGAGUAACCUGCCCUUGACUUUGGGAUAACUUCAGGAAACUGGGGCUAAUACCGGAUAGGAGCUCCUGCUGCAUGGUGGGGGUUGGAAAGUUUCGGCGGUUGGGGAUGGACUCGCGGCUUAUCAGCUUGUUGGUGGGGUAGUGGCUUACCAAGGCUUUGACGGGUAGCCGGCCUGAGAGGGUGAACGGCCACAUUGGGACUGAGGUACGGCCCAGACGCCUACGGGAGGCAGCAGUGGGGAAUAUUGCACAGUGGGCGGAAGCCUGAUGCAGCAGCGCCGCGUGCGGGAUGACGGCCUUCGGGUUGUAAACCGCUUUCGCCUGUGACGAAGCGUGAGUGACGGUAAUGGGUAAAGAAGCACCGGCUAACUACGUG
rnacentral:rRNA from 1 species